UCUGUCUCUCACUCUCUCUUUCUCUUCUUCCCUCUGUCUCUCUGUCUCUCUGUCUCUCUAUCUCUCUGUCUCUCUGGUUGAUUGCACACCACCCCUCGUCUGUGCUCAGAAAUAGAAAAAACAUAAACAUUUGGAAGCGGAAGCCGCGUUGUCUCUGAUUCGAAAGCGAAACUGCAUACAGUUGCGAACGUGUUGUCUGUGCCUUGUUGAUCUGAAUUCGGAACCUAAGGUAAUGAUCAGAUGGCUGUGGUGGUUUAUUGUAGCUGAAAGCUUUGCAGUGUAGACUAGUAUAGAUCUAUAUCUAGACUCUAGAUGAUGUAUCGUGUAGAACCAAACAAGACCCACAGAGUCUCCCGAGGGAGAGAGACCAGAUCUAGACCUCCUUAGAUCUAUAUAUCUAGAUAUAAAUUAUUAUAAAUAUAAAUAUAGAUCUAGAAUCUAGAAUGUAGACCUAGGCCUAGGCUUGCCUUUCCUUCUUAGUAGUCCCUCACUUAUUAUAACUAACUAAUGUCCACUGGAACUGCAUGCAAUGUACUGGCCUUUGUAGAGCUAAAUCUAAGUUUUUUUGAAGUUUGAUGGGAAUAGCACACAGUGAGCCUAACCCUAAUUACUAAUACUAAUACUAAUUUAGUAAAACAAAUUUAAGCUUCCUCUAUUACCGAGUAUUGGCAUUCACUAAUUAAUGACUAGAUUCUAGAUCUAAUGGCAAUGUUAGAUCUAUCUCAGCUGGGCACUUUGUAGAGCUAAAUCUAGGGUUGUUUAGAAAAGCGUUUGAUUGUAUAUCACACGGUGAGUCGAACGCUUAGUCAACCAAGUAAGCUUCCUAUUACUAUUAUUAUCAUUACCGACUUAAAAUGACAUUCACUAACAAAUGACUAUAAUGGCAAUGCUCAAUGCUAGAUCUAGGGCUGUUUAGUGUUUGAUUGGAAAUGUCACACAGUGAGCCGAACGGUUUUAACUAAUUAAAAGUUGGGGGCUCGGGUGACUAAUCAACUAAGUGAGUAGGCCUAGAUCUCGAACCGUCAUUUCAGUUUGGGAAAUUUUUCGCAGCUCGUCCGACACAAAAGCAUAAGCCUAGAUUUUUUGUCGAAUAACUUUCGAUCCCGUUUACUUUUAACCUAGAUUCUCUAAACGGCACUCUUCGAGGGAAGUGGUCCCGGCUUAACACCAUAGAAAUAACACUAAGACUUGUAGUCAGAAACAAAAACACAAGUCGAGUAAAAAAGCUGUCUUCGGUAAUUUUUUUCCCUUACUUCAAGUUUAGAAUAUUUCCCACAUUAAUUUUUUAAUCGGCUUCCUUUUUUGUUUCCGAUUGCAAGUGUUAUUUCUACGGAAUUAGGCCGGGACUACUUCUCCCGAAGAGUGCCCUCUAAACGAGUGACAACCCCGUUUUGUUUUUUCGAGCAAAACUUUUUUCAACGUUAUAGAUUGGUGUGGAAGGGCACUUUUCUUAGAGAGGCCAGAAUAUUGCUCGAUAUGAGUCGGGCGGAACUAUUUUCUUACGGAUAUUGAUAAGUAAAUGGGACAAACUGAUACAAGACCGGGAACGGUAGCUCGAUAACAUUAACAAUCAGUGCCGUCUGUCUCAAGUCAUCCGUAAGAAAAUCGUGUCUUUUCAUCGGACAGGCUACAGCACGGGCAAAAAUAGUUUUGGUGUCGACGGACAUCCCCGCUCCGUCCCUCAUGUUUAAACUGACUGCGUCAGUGUCGUUCUGUAGGUAUUAAUUUUAAAUAACGUUUCCAAGCCCUCUGACCUGGUAACCGUAACAGUUUUGGUCAGGUCCAUUUUUCCCCUUCUCUUUCCCCCGAUCUCGGAAUCUUCGCGGAGAGGAGCAGCGCCAGCCGUUUGCCAGCGACGAGGAGACGAUCUCGGAAUCUUCGCGGACGCAGUAUCAUGUCUGGAGAGGAACAGCCCCAGCCGUUUGCCAGCGACGAGGAGAUG
rnacentral:lncRNA from 1 species